rnacentral:rRNA from 1 species
ACCCGCACAAGCGGUGGAUGAUGUGGAUUAAUCGAUGCAACGCGAAGAACCUUACUACCCUUGACAUGUCCGGAACUUGCCAGAGAUGGCUUGGUGCCCGAAAGAGAAUCGGAACACAGGUGCUGCAUGGCUGUCGUCAGCUCGUGUCGUGAGAUGUUGGGUUAAGUCCCGCAACGAGCGCAACCCUUAUCAUUAGUUGCUACGCAAGGGCACUCUAAUGAGACUGCCGGUGACAAACCGGAGGAAGGUGGGGAUGACGUCAAGUCCUCAUGGCCCUUAUGGGUAGGGCUUCACACGUCAUACAAUGGUCGGUACAGAGGGUUGCCAAGCCGCGAGGCGGAGCCAAUCCCACAAAGCCGAUCGUAGUCCGGAUCGCAGUCUGCAACUCGACUGCGUGAAGUCGGAAUCGCUAGUAAUCGUGGAUCAGCAUGUCGCGGUGAAUACGUUCCCGGGUCUU